UUCUCCCACUUCACUUCUCUUUCUCUUUCUCUUUCACUUCCUCUUUCAGAUUCACCAAAUUUCAAAAAAUUUCUCUCUUCCGCCAAACCUUGCCGUACGUGGGACACCGGCGUCGAAUCUCCAUGAUCAUGGCUACGAAUGGAAGCUUCUGAGGCCCACACGACCACCACCAGCGGUGCUUGCCGGCCUGACCUUCUCCUCUCCCAACGUCUCCCUGUAUUCUCGUUUUCUCAAGUCCAGCUGUGGCCAAGCUUCUGGUUGCCCCUUCUCUGGCAGUGCUUCUCAGCGGCAUCACCAACGUUGGUGGCCGUCGGUCUUGAGGGAGGUCAUCAGAUUGUGAAAUGCACCAGGAUGCUCCCCCAAUAGGUUGAUUCUUUUCAUUUCAUAGCUAACAAGAGAGGGAUCUAGGCUCUAGCUAAGGUGAUGAACAGAGUUAACGGUUGAUUCGUUUCACUUCCUACACCAAGAAGACUGUCAAGUUCUUGUUUUUCCAAUUUCAAUUGGCCAAUUCCAUUUCCAAUCUUGACUAUGGGGAAUCCAAGAAUCAACUAAUGGCUUUGUCAACAAUAAUGUAUCUUGUAUUUAUCAGCAUGUAUCUUCUGCAAACGGGGAAAAAAAAA